rnacentral:rRNA from 1 species
UACAGGGGAUGCAAGUGUUAUCCGGAAUUAUUGGGCGUAAAGCGUCUGCAGGUGGACCUUUAAGUCUUUUGUUAAAGCUCUGGGCUUAACCUAGAAUAUGCAAAGGAAACUAUUGGUCUUGAGUAUGGGAGAGGUAAAGGGAAUUUCCAGUGGAGCGGUGAAAUGCUUAGAUAUUGGAAAGAACACCAACGGCGAAGGCACUUUACUGGACCAGCACUGACACUGAGAGACGAAAGCUAGGGGAGCAAACGGG